AAUCCUCACAACAAACCCAUGAUGUUAGUAAUGACAUAAUUUGCUCCUUUCAGAUCAGGAAACAAGUUUAUACGGUAUGAGACAAGGCUUUCAGGUAUAUCUGAUUGCAAAGUCAGUACCAUUUUCCAGUGGUGUGCUGAAUAACAUUUAGCAACUGUUUUCUGCCAUUUCUGAGAAGAAAACAAGAACGAGAAAAACAUCUUCAUAUUUGUAACUCUGCCUCCUCUGCAGGACUUGUACUGUGUCUGGAAUCAGGAUUCUAUCAGGAUGAGACACUGUAUUUAGUCAUUAUGACUCCUUCAUCACCUCCUGCUUUGACACUUUCUGAGACUUUCUUCAUUUUAGAUGACCUUGGCAGUUUUUAGGAGUGCUGGUCAGUGUCUGAACUACUACAGAAAAGAACUGGUGAGGGAGUUGACUUCUGCCUGGCUGAUUGAUGCACCCCAAUCUACAUCAUCCUUCAGAAUGAGCUUAGUAGCCCACCUGGAGUACUACUCAGGAGCCAUUGACAUCCGGUUCAAUGACCUUCAUCACCUCGAGUCCUCUCUUAAAAUUUCCAUUAAAAGAGGUCAAAUGCUGCCUCGCAGCCUGUUAGUAGUUCCCACCUUAAAGUCACCCAAUUUUCAUUUAUGGUUUGUUAGCUAUUUAUGAUGUAUUCUUCAUCAGAGCUUUUACUAUAGCUUCCAAUUCCUUUAGUGUCUUUUCUUCACCUGCUCAAAGAACUUCUGAUUGAAAAAAUUAACUUGAUACCAAGGAAAAUUGAAUUUACUUCUACCUUUAUCCUUUAAGAUUUCUUUUCUUUCUGGGUGAUAGGUAAUAAAACUGGAUUUCCAACAACUACAAAGCUUCCCUUUCUGUGACUGAUAAAUUUAAUAUUAUCCCAGAAUACUUGUUUAAAUUUAAAAAGCUAACAGAAAUCUAUGCUAUCAGAAAAGAUCCCUCAAGUAAACACCUUUUUUCGAAAUAAA